GGAGCGUGAGGGGCUGCGGGGCCGCACAGCAUCCCCUCGGGCCCCUGAGCCCCGCCUGGGACCCCUCAGGCCUCUGGGACCCCUGAGCCCCGCCUGAGAUCCCUCAGGCCUCUGGGGCCCCUGAGCCCCGCCUGAGACCCCUCAGCCCCACGGUCCCCUGGAACUCCUCACCCUCAUGGACCCCUCACCGCUCUGGCCCUGCUGUUACCCACAAGAUCAGCCUCAUGGGAACACUGAAUGAGGCAGUUCCAGGUCCAUCACCGCUGAAAAAUGUCCAAGAGCCAACAGGCAUUGAACCCUUGGGCCAGAACUGCGGACUUCUGAGAACCUCAAUCAGAGCAGCUCUUGUAUUAUUUAUGCUGUGGUGGUGCUCUGAGACCCACUGGAGCCAAGAGAACUUCACACCAGACAUCUGCACAAAGCCAACAUCCGCCUGGCAAAACACCCAGAGAUGAGAGCCUUUUCUGCAGCUACAGCAGGAAGUUUUCGGACCAGGAUAAGUACCUUGCUGCUGGGGCCACUGGCCAUGAAGCUCUGAGCACUGAGAGGCUCUGCAGCUGCUCUGCCAGGCUCUGUGUGCCUGGGCUCCCACCAGCACUGCUCCAGCCAAAAACCAUUGGUUUUUUUCUCCCUCCUCCAAGAGGGGACUGGUAACAGGUUUCUGACACACUCACAAAGCAGUGCUGUGCUUGAGCAGGGUCUAACAAAAGGGUAAAAUGG